rnacentral:rRNA from 1 species
GGCCUAACACAUGCAAGUCGAACGGAUCCUUCGGGAUUAGUGGCGGACGGGUGAGUAACACGUGGGAAUGUGCCCUUUGGUUCGGAACAACUCAGGGAAACUUGAGCUAAUACCGGAUGUGCCCUUCGGGGGAAAGAUUUAUCGCCAUUGGAGCGGCCCGCGUCGGAUUAGCUAGUUGGUGGGGUAAAGGCCCACCAAGGCGACGAUCCGUAGCUGGUCUGAGAGGAUGAUCAGCCACAUUGGGACUGAGACACGGCCCAAACUCCUACGGGAGGCAGCAGUGGGGAAUCUUGCGCAAUGGGCGAAAGCCUGACGCAGCCAUGCCGCGUGAAUGAUGAAGGUCUUAGGAUUGUAAAAUUCUUUCACCGGGGACGAUAAUGACGGUACCCGGAGAAGAAGCCCCGGCUAACUUCGUGCCAGCAGCCGCGGUAAUACGAAGGGGGCUAGCGUUGCUCGGAAUUACUGGGCGUAAAGGGAGCGUAGGCGGACUGUUUAGUCAGAGGUGAAAGCCCAGGGCUCAACCUUGGAAUUGCCUUUGAUACUGGCAGUCUUGAGUACGGAAGAGGUAUGUGGAACUCCGAGUGUAGAGGUGAAAUUCGUAGAUAUUCGGAAGAACACCAGUGGCGAAGGCGACAUACUGGUCCGUUACUGACGCUGAGGCUCGAAAGCGUGGGGAGCAAACAGGAUUAGAUACCCUGGU